UUAAGCAUAUCAGUAAGCGGAGGAAAAGAAAACAACUGUGAUUCCCUUAGUAACGGCGAGUGAAGCGGGAAAAGCCCAUCGUUUAAUCUCUCUAGGCCAAGCUUAGAGCGAGUUGUAACGGUAUGGAUUGACAUUCUAGCGUGGCGUGCUGACCAAAGUUCUCCGGAUUGAGACGCCAGAGAGGGUGACAGCCCCGUAGAUGGUCAGUACAAUACGUGUACGUUGUCAACUCCUAGAGUCGGGUUGUUUGGGAUUGCAACCUAAAGUAGGUGGUAAACUCCAUCUAAGGCUAAAUAUAGACACGAAACCGAUAGCGAACAAGUACCGUGAGGGAAAGUUGAAAAGAACCCUGAAAAGAGAGUUAAAAGUACGUGAAACCGCUAACGGGGAAGCGGAAGGCAGUGUCGAGACUGUGUGUGGUGGACGGCCAACUAAGGACGUUAGCUGCGCAUGGUGCGUCAGGCCUGCUGGUGGGCGUGUGGAAAUUUAACAUGGCAUUCAUAGAUUCGUAAGAAACUAUGUUUGCGGUUUUGUGAAAACACGUGUGCUGGCAUGAUUGUAGAGAAGCGUUGUUGGCUACACUUUGGUGAGGUCGGUUAAUGCUUGUAUGUGCUGCUUAGUGUCUAAAGUUUGGACGUUAAGUAGUAGCAUGCAAGGUUGAUAAGCAAUGCUAGAUCCUGACGAGAUACCUAACUUUCCGACCCGUCUUGAAACACGGACCAAGGAGGCAGAAACUAGAGCGAGUUAGAGGGUGGAAAACCCGACGGCGUAGUGAAAGCAAAUAGGUGGGAUCUGUAUUUUUCGGAAUGCAGCGCACCACCGGCCGGUCAUUUGUGAUCGAGUUGGAGCUCUAGUUGCUGAACCCGAAAGAUGGUGAACUAUGCGUGAGCAGGGUGAAGCCAGAGGAAACUCUGGUGGAAGCUCGAAGCGAUUCUGACGUGCAAAUCGAUCGUUUGACUUGCGUGUGGGGGCGAAAGACUAAUCGAACCAUCUAGUAGCUGGUUCCCUUCGAAAUAUCCCUCAGGAUCGCUGAGACAGGUGGGAGACAGUUUCAUCGGGUAGAGCGAAUGAUUAGAGGACUCGGGGACAUAUUACUCUCGACCUAUUCUCAAACUACCAACCGGUGAGAUUGCCGUUUACUUUGGUGAAUCGGCACGUGGAAUGUCUCUGUCUCAAGUGGGCCAUUUUUGGUAAGCAGAACUGGCGAUGCGGGAUGAACCGAGAGCUGAGCUAAGGUGCCUAAGAGCACGUCAAUAGAUACCACAAAAGGAGUCGGUCGAUGAAGACAGCAGGACGGUGGCCCUGAAAGUAGGCAUCCGCUAAGGAGUGUCUAAUAACUCACCUGCCGAAUCGACGGGCCCUGAAAAUGGAUGGCGCUGAAGCGUGCCACCGAUGCUCAGCCUUUACCUCGAGAAAUGUAGGUAAAGGGUAGAAGGGCGCGGCGGUAGCGAAAAAGUGUAAAGCGUGAGCUUACAUGGAGCUGCCGUUGGUGUAGAUCUUGGUGGUAGUAGCAACUAUAAAAGUGAGUAAAAAUCUUUUAGGCCGAAGUGGAGAAGGGUUCCACGUGAACAGCAGUUGGACGUGGGUUAGUCGGUCCUAAGCGGUUGCCUAACGGCUAUUUCAACGCAGACUUUUGUCUGAGUUCCGCGAAAGGGAAUCAGGUUAAUAUUCCUGAACUGGGCGCUGGAGACGCGAUCCUUGACGCAAGGAGAGGGUCGCUUAGCGGUAACGCAAACAAUAUCGGAGACGCUGAUGACUGUGGCGGGGAGAAUUAUCUUUUCUGCAUAACAAGUAAACACCUUGGAAUUGAGUCGCUCAGAGAUAAGGUGCUACACUUGGAAGAGCGCCGCAAUUAUUGCGGCGUCCGCACUGCAGGGAUCAGCCCUUGAAAAUCCGAUGGAGUGGUUGAAUUUCGCGCCUAUCCGUACCGAAUCCGCAUCAGGU
rnacentral:rRNA from 1 species